UACGGAGGGUGCGAGCGUUAAUCGGAAUUACUGGGCGUAAAGCGCGCGUAGGCGGCUCGCUAAGUCAGAUGUGAAAUCCCCGGGCUUAACCCGGGAACUGCGUUUGAUACUGGUGGGCUUGAGUGUGGUAGAGGGAGGUGGAAUUCCGCAUGUAGCGGUGAAAUGCGUAGAUAUGCGGAGGAACACCAGUGGCGAAGGCGACCUCCUGGACUGACACUGACGCUGAGGCGCGAAAGCGUGGGGAGCAAACAGG
rnacentral:rRNA from 1 species